rnacentral:rRNA from 1 species
GAUGAACGCUGGCGGCGUGCCUAAUACAUGCAAGUCGAGCGAACGGACGAGAAGCUUGCUUCUCUGAUGUUAGCGGCGGACGGGUGAGUAACACGUGGAUAACCUACCUAUAAGACUGGGAUAACUUCGGGAAACCGGAGCUAACACCGGAUAAUAUUUUGAACCGCAUGGUUCAAAAGUGAAAGACGGUCUUGCUGUCACUUAUAGAUGGAUCCGCGCUGCAUUAGCUAGUUGGUAAGGUAACGGCUUACCAAGGCAACGAUGCAUAGCCGACCUGAGAGGGUGAUCGGCCACACUGGAACUGAGACACGGUCCAGACUCCUACGGGAGGCAGCAGUAGGGAAUCUUCCGCAAUGGGCGAAAGCCUGACGGAGCAACGCCGCGUGAGUGGUGAAGGUCUUCGGAGCGUAAAACUCUGUUAUUAGGGAAGAACAUAUGUGUAAGUAACUGUGCACAUCUUGACGGUACCUAAUCAGAAAGCCACGGCUAACUACGUG